CCUACGGGGGGCUGCAGUGAGGAAUAUUGGUCUAUGGACGGAAGUCUGAACCAGCCAAGUAGCGUGAAGGAUGACUGCCCUAUGGGUUGUAAACUUCUUUUAUAUGGGAAUAAAAUGUUCCACGUGUGGGAUUUUGUAUGUACCAUAUGAAUAAGGAUCGGCUAACUCCGUGCCAGCAGCCGCGGUAAUACGGAGGAUCCGAGCGUUAUCCGGAUUUAUUGGGUUUAAAGGGAGCGUAGGUGGAUUGUUAAGUCAGUUGUGAAAGUUUGCGGCUCAACCGUAAAAUUGCAGUUGAAACUGGCAGUCUUGAGUACAGUAGAGGUGGGCGGAAGUCGUGGUGUAGCGGUGAAAUGCUUAGAUAUCACGAAGAACUCCGAUUGCGAAGGCAGUUCACUGGACUGCAACUGACACUGAUGCUCGAAAGUGUGGGUAUCAAACAGGAUUAGAUACCCGAGUAGUC
rnacentral:rRNA from 1 species